AAACAUCUUAGUACCCGCAGGAAAAGAAGCAA
rnacentral:rRNA from 1 species